UUCCUUCUUUUUCGCUUCCUUUCUCCCCUGCCCUUUCUUUCUUCUUUCUUGCUCUUCUUUUCUUUUCGUCCCAAACGAGAGAGAGGUUAGAGAGAAACCGAUAGAGAUGGAGAGAAACAGAGAGCUUGAGAGAAGAGGCGUGCGGUGCGCUAGCCACCGUUUGGGGCGGACGACGGCCCCGGGCCGGUGGGUCGCGGCCCAACGCCAGUGAGGCAAAAAAGCUUGGAGUUCCGGCAUUUUCUCGGUACCGAAACAGUAGAAAAUUCAGUUUUUUUGGGUAAGUAUAAUUUUUAGGCUUGAUUUCUUGAUUUUUGUUUUGAUUUGGGUUGUUUUGUGAAGAUUUUCGUUAUACCCACUUAUUCCGGUUCUAUAAUGGUAAAAAUCAACCACCAAAACAGGUAUAUAUUUUGUUUUAUGCUUUCAUUUUUUUUUUUCCAAGUUUUCCUGGUAACCAAUCAGAGAUUAACGUGUUUUGUAUCUGAACUAUACUUUAUUUUCAUACGUAUUCGUCAGUACCAUAAUGGAUUUUCUAGUUUCUUGGAAUUUUCUCUGAGUUGGAAUUGAUCUUCCAGCAAUUGAAGUCCGAUUUGAGCACCUAAACAUUGAAGCAGAAGUUCAUGUAGGAGGCAGAGCCUUGCCUUCCUUCUUUAACUUCAUUAUAAACAUCCUAGAGAUGUAUGAAAUGUAAUGGCAAGGGAAAGAUAUAUGCUCUGCCUAUAAAGGUCAAUGUUUUGUAUUCAUUUUUAUAGUCAUCAUAGGUUUCGGUAUACAAUCUCAGAAUAUUUGUCGUCCGUAAUUUUAUUGAGUUCUAUGGCGGCAUCUGGUAAAUCGAAGCUCAUAGAUGGAGAGACAUUUUUAUAACUACGUGGAGAAUUUGUCUGUUGAUAAUUGAACUUAAUUAGUUGCUCAUUCUUUACAAGGUCUUUUGCUGUAUUAGAUCAGACAAUAGUUUAGUCUUAUUUGGACUUGCUCAGUGUAGCAAUGAGACAUGCAUAAAGAAAAAAACUUGGAUUGAUUUUA